AUACAUCUUCCAUUACAUGGCAAGUGCUGUUGCAAACUGUCUAAAAGAAGUCAGUAAGCACAGCUCUUGUCUGUAACUGGUAGUGA